GCGGCGAACGGGUGAGUAACACGUGGGUGAUCUGCCUGGAAGCCUGGGACAACAGCUGGAAACGGCUGCUAAUACCGGAUGAAGUCUAUCAUUCGUUUGAUAGACCAAAGAAUUUCGCUUCCAGAUGAGCCCGCGGCCCAUUAGCUAGUUGGUGGGGUAAGGGCCUACCAAGGCGACGAUGGGUAGCCGGUCUGAGAGGAUGGUCGGCCACACUGGAACUGAGACACGGUCCAGACUCCUACGGGAGGCAGCAGUGGGGAAUUUUGCGCAAUGGGCGAAAGCCUGACGCAGCGACGCCGCGUGAGUGACGAAGGCCUUCGGGUUGUAAAGCUCUGUUGAGGGGGAAGAUAAUGACGGUACCCCUUAAGAAAGCCCCGGCUAACUACGUGCCAGCAGCCGCGGUAAGACGUAGGGGGCGAGCGUUGUCCGGAAUUACUGGGUGUAAAGGGCGUGUAGGCGGCUAAGUAAGUCAGCUGUGAAAUUCCCCGGCUCAACUGGGGGCCUGCAGUUGAAACUACUUAGCUUGAGUGCAGGAGAGGAAGGUGGAAUUCCCAGUGUAGCGGUGAAAUGCGUAGAUAUUGGGAGGAACACCGGUGGCGAAGGCGGCCUUCUGGCCUGUAACUGACGCUGAGGCGCGAAAGCUAGGGGAGCAAACAGGAUUAGAUACCCUGGUAGUCCUAGCUGUAAACGCUGGGUACUAGGUGUAGGGGGUUUAGACGCCCUCUGUGCCGCAGUUAACGCAUUAAGUACCCCGCCUGGGGAGUACGAUCGCAAGGUUG
rnacentral:rRNA from 1 species